ACAUCUUCCUCCUUUCCUGCAAAUGCGGUCAAACCCAACGGACAGGAACAUCACUCUCCAGACUAUCCUGCAGCGUAGAGACUUGGCACCUCUGUGUGAUGAAAUCCAAAUACUGGCUGUGGUUAUAAGGCUGAGCAAAACACAGAGCAGAUGAAGAGAUACAGUUUGUCUACAUUUCUGCAGAGCUGACUGAAGUAUCCUGGGAGUGGCAGCU
rnacentral:lncRNA from 1 species